AGAGUUUGAUCAUGGCUCAGAUUGAACGCUGGCGGCAGGCCUAACACAUGCAAGUCGAACGGUAACAGGAAGAAGCUUGCUUCUUUGCUGACGAGUGGCGGACGGGUGAGUAAUGUCUGGGAAACUGCCUGAUGGAGGGGGAUAACUACUGGAAACGGUAGCUAAUACCGCAUAACGUCGCAAGACCAAAGAGGGGGACCUUCGGGCCUCUUGCCAUCGGAUGUGCCCAGAUGGGAUUAGCUAGUAGGUGGGGUAACGGCUCACCUAGGCGACGAUCCCUAGCUGGUCUGAGAGGAUGACCAGCCACACUGGAACUGAGACACGGUCCAGACUCCUACGGGAGGCAGCAGUGGGGAAUAUUGCACAAUGGGCGCAAGCCUGAUGCAGCCAUGCCGCGUGUAUGAAGAAGGCCUUCGGGUUGUAAAGUACUUUCAGCGGGGAGGAAGAGAGUAAAGUUAAUACCUUUGCUCAUUGACGUUACCCGCAGAAGAAGCACCGGCUAACUCCGUGCCAGCAGCCGCGUAAUACGGAGGGUGCAAGCGUUAAUCGGAAUUACUGGGCGUAAAGCGCACGCAGGCGGUUUGUUAAGUCAGAUGUGAAAUCCCCGGGCUCAACCUGGGAACUGCAUCUGAUACUGGCAAGCUUGAGUCUCGUAGAGGGGGGUAGAAUUCCAGGUGUAGCGGUGAAAUGCGUAGAGAUCUGGAGGAAUACCGGUGGCGAAGGCGGCCCCCUGGACGAAGACUGACGCUCAGGUGCGAAAGCGUGGGGAGCAAACAGGAUUAGAUACCCUGGUAGUCCACGCCGUAAACGAUGUCGACUUGGAGGUUGUGCCCUUGAGGCGUGGCUUCCGGAGCUAACGCGUUAAGUCGACCGCCUGGGGAGUACGGCCGCAAGGUUAAAACUCAAAUGAAUUGACGGGGGCCCGCACAAGCGGUGGAGCAUGUGGUUUAAUUCGAUGCAACGCGAAGAACCUUACCUGGUCUUGACAUCCACGGAAGUUUUCAGAGAUGAGAAUGUGCCUUCGGGAACCGUGAGACAGGUGCUGCAUGGCUGUCGUCAGCUCGUGUUGUGAAAUGUUGGGUUAAGUCCCGCAACGAGCGCAACCCUUAUCCUUUGUUGCCAGCGGUCCGGCCGGGAACUCAAAGGAGACUGCCAGUGAUAAACUGGAGGAAGGUGGGGAUGACGUCAAGUCAUCAUGGCCCUUACGACCAGGGCUACACACGUGCUACAAUGGCGCAUACAAAGAGAAGCGACCUCGCGAGAGCAAGCGGACCUCAUAAAGUGCGUCGUAGUCCGGAUUGGAGUCUGCAACUCGACUCCAUGAAGUCGGAAUCGCUAGUAAUCGUGGAUCAGAAUGCCACGGUGAAUACGUUCCCGGGCCUUGUACACACCGCCCGUCACACCAUGGGAGUGGGUUGCAAAAGAAGUAGGUAGCUUAACCUUCGGGAGGGCGCUUACCACUUUGUGAUUCAUGACUGGGGUGAAGUCGUAACAAGGUAACCGUAGGGGAACCUGCGGUUG
rnacentral:rRNA from 1 species